AUGGAAGUGAUGAUUAUUUCCCCAAAUGAUCGAAGCUGAAUAAACUGAGCGAUUUUUUUGUUUCUCUUUUUUGAGAAACCAAGCCAACAGUUCUGAUCCAU